rnacentral:rRNA from 1 species
UACGGGAGGCAGCAGUGGGGAAUAUUGCACAAUGGGCGCAAGCCUGAUGCAGCCAUGCCGCGUGUAUGAAGAAGGCCUUCGGGUUGUAAAGUACUUUCAGUCGUGAGGAAGGUGUUAAGGUUAAUAACCUUAGCAAUUGACGUUAGCGACAGAAGAAGCACCGGCUAACUCCGUGCCAGCAGCCGCGGUAAUACGGAGGGUGCGAGCGUUAAUCGGAAUUACUGGGCGUAAAGGGCACGCAGGCGGUUAAUUAAGUUGGAUGUGAAAUCCCCGGGCUUAACCUGGGAAUGGCAUUCAAGCUGGUUAGCUAGAGUCUUGUAGAGGGGGUAGAAUUCCAUGUGUAGCGGUGAAAUGCGUAGAGAUGUGGAGGAAUACCGGUGGCGAAGGCGGCCCCUGGACAAGACUGACGCUCAUGUGCGAAAGCGUGGGGAGCGAAAC